UGCUUUUGUGGUCCCUAGGCAUGAUUGCUUUUUCUCACCACUGUAAGAGACGUGUCUCCAUCAAACCUGCUAUGAUGUCAGCACAUUACCUGUUUGAC
rnacentral:snoRNA from 1 species